rnacentral:misc_RNA from 1 species
GAUGAAGAACGCAGCGAAAUGCGAUAAGUAAUGUGAAUGGCAGAAUUCAGUGAAUCAUCGAAUCUUUGAACGCACAUUGCGCCCCCUGGUAUUCCGGGGGGCAAGCCUGUUCGAGCGUCAUUUCACCACUCAAGCCUCGCUUGGUAUUGGGCAACGCGGUCCGCCGCGUGCCUCAAAUCGACCGGCUGGGUCUUCUGUCCCCUAAGCGUUGUGGAAACUAUUCGCUAAAGGGUGUUCGGGAGGCUACGCCGUAAAACAACCCCAUUUCUAAGGUUGACCUCGGAUCAGGUAGGGAUACCCGCUGAACUUAAGCAUAUCAAUAAGCGGAGGA